rnacentral:rRNA from 1 species
UGACGGGGGCCCGCACAAGCGGUGGAGCAUGUGGUUUAAUUCGACGCAACGCGCAGAACCUUACCAGGGUUUGACAUCCUGCGACCGCCCCGUAACGGGGGGUUUUCCCGCAAGGGACGCAGAGACAGGUGCUGCAUGGCUGUCGUCAGCUCGUGUCGUGAGAUGUUGGGUUAAGUCCCGCAACGAGCGCAACCCUUGCCUUUAGUUGCCAUCAUUCAGUUGGGCACUCUAGAGGGACCGCCGGCGACAAGCCGGAGGAAGGUGGGGAUGACGUCAAGUCCUCAUGGCCCUUACACCCUGGGCUACACACGUGCUACAAUGGCGGUGACAGUGGGCAGCUACGUCGCGAGACGCGGCUAAUCCCAAAAAACCGUCCCAGUUCAGAUUGUACUCUGCAACUCGAGUACAUGAAGGUGGAAUCGCUAGUAAUCGCAGAACAGCAGGCUGCGGUGAAUACGUUCCCGGGCCUUGUACACACCGCCCGUCACGGCAUGGGAGUUGGUUCUACCCUAAGACAGUGCGCUAACCGCAAGGAGGCAGCUGGCCACGGUAGGUCAGCGGUUGGCCG